ACAGGCUUAACACAUGCAAGUCGAGGGGCAUCAGGAAGAAAGCUUGCUUUCUUUGCUGGCGACCGGCGCACGGGUGAGUAACACGUAUCCAACCUGCCGAUGACUCGGGGAUAGCCUUUCGAAAGAAAGAUUAAUACCCGAUGGUAUAUCUGAAAGGCAUCUUUCAGCUAUUAAAGAAUUUCGGUCAUUGAUGGGGAUGCGUUCCAUUAGGUUGUUGGCGGGGUAACGGCCCACCAAGCCAUCGAUGGAUAGGGGUUCUGAGAGGAAGGUCCCCCACAUUGGAACUGAGACACGGUCCAAACUCCUACGGGAGGCAGCAGUGAGGAAUAUUGGUCAAUGGACGAGAGUCUGAACCAGCCA
rnacentral:rRNA from 1 species